rnacentral:misc_RNA from 1 species
GUCGUAACAAGGUUUCCGUAGGUGAACCUGCGGAAGGAUCAUUACCACACCUUCAAAAACACGAAUUCGGAGCUUGCUUCUGCGAGUUCCGUCUUCAGUCACGUGAAAUGAAAUUGUUUGGGAAGUGUCUUCGGAUGCUUCUCACCUCCCAGAGUGUGCGCAAGCAUGUCUCUGGGUCAUUUUAAAAUCCACUUGUCUGACAAGUGUGAUGAACCAACAAUCUGAUUGAAACUCAUCAGUGAUAUUCUUCGGAAUGUCCCAAUACGAUGAAACGAAAUUAACACUUUCAGCAACGGAUGUCUUGGCUCCCA